GCCGGUGUUAAUGGCGAUGAGGAACCACCUGUUCCCAUACCGAACACAGAAGUUAAGCUCAUCUGCGCCGACAAUACUUGGCGGGCGACUGCCUGGGAAGAUAGGUCGAUGCCGGCA
rnacentral:rRNA from 1 species